GAUGGUCUAACUCCUUCCCCUGCUA
rnacentral:tRNA from 1 species